rnacentral:rRNA from 1 species
AGAGUUUGAUCAUGGCUCAGGAUGAACGCUAGCGGCAGGCUUAACACAUGCAAGUCGAGGGGUAUAGGUUUUCGGACCUAGAGACCGGCGCACGGGUGCGUAACGCGUAUGCAAUCUACCUUUUACAGAGGGAUAGCCCAGAGAAAUUUGGAUUAAUACCUCAUAGUAUUAUUGAAUGGCAUCAUUUAAUAAUUAAAGUCACAACGGUAAAAGAUGAGCAUGCGUCCCAUUAGCUAGUUGGUAAGGUAACGGCUUACCAAGGCAACGAUGGGUAGGGGUCCUGAGAGGGAGAUCCCCCACACUGGUACUGAGACACGGACCAGACUCCUACGGGAGGCAGCAGUGAGGAAUAUUGGUCAAUGGGCGCAAGCCUGAACCAGCCAUGCCGCGUGCAGGAUGAAGCAUCUAUGGUGUGUAAACUGCUUUUGUACGAGAAGAAACACUCCUUCGUGAAGGAGCUUGACGGUAUCGUAAGAAUAAGGACCGGCUAACUCCGUGCCAGCAGCCGCGGUAAUACGGAGGGUCCAAGCGUUAUCCGGAAUCAUUGGGUUUAAAGGGUCCGUAGGCGGUUUUGUAAGUCAGUGGUGAAAGCCCAUCGCUCAACGGUGGAACGGCCAUUGAUACUGCAAGACUUGAAUUAUUGGGAAGUAACUAGAAUAUGUAGUGUAGCGGUGAAAUGCUUAGAGAUUACAUGGAAUACCAAUUGCGAAGGCAGGUUACUACCAAUAUAUUGACGCUGAUGGACGAAAGCGUGGGGAGCGAACAGGAUUAGAUACCCUAGUAGUCC